AAAAUACUCCCUCCGUCCUAAUUUUUUUUGUCUUAGAUUUGUCUAGAUAUGGAUGUAUCUAGUCACGUUUUAAUAUUUUGAUACAUCCAUUUUCUAGACAAAUCUAAUACAAUUUUUUUGGGACAGAGAGAGUAGUUU
rfam:Hordeum vulgare subsp. vulgare, WGS project CAJW01000000 data, contig: morex_contig_55625